rnacentral:lncRNA from 10 species
UCAUGGUGCUCAGAGCAAAAUGCAGAGCUGUGCAGCACCCAAGGGCUGAUGAGAGAAGAGUGGGUAGGAUCAUCACCUGCCAUGGUUUAAAUGCACUGCUGUCUUUGAUGUGGGCUGAAAUGACAGUCUUGUGACCUCUUUAUAUGGCAGCCAUGCCCCCACUCCUUUUGUGAUAGUCAAUUAAACCUCUGUAUCAGUCCAAGUUCUGACUUGUGAGCAGUAGAAAAUAUCUCUAGCUGAAUUAUGAAAAAAAAAAGUAAAUGUACAUUGGAUUUCUGGUAAGAUGAUGGUGGAGUUUUAAAUAUUCUCAGAUUAUCCCAUAUAAACAAACAGAGUAACUAAGAUAGCAAAACUAAAGACCGAUGGACAACAUCUACCACAAAACUAGGUAAUACGGUUUCCCCAAGACUCUCCUAAAAGUGGGUGGGAACAAACCAUUGGCAGCUAAAGGACCGCGUGGUCUUACGUCUGUGCAGUCAGAAGGUGCCUGGGCUUCUGAUGACUGCAAGUGAAGUGGCUAUAGUGUCCGGGGUAUAUACCCUGGGGUUCGUUGUUCCUGGCAGGAAAAUUUAGGACACAGACACAAGAGGAGUUUAGGAGUGGAGGUCUAAUAGGCAGAAGAGAAGAGAAAGAAAAACAGCCCUCUCUCUAGAGAGAGAGGGGUCUUCUGAGAAGAAAAGACCGGCUGAUUGUGGAUGCCCGGAUUUUAUAGCCCAGCUUGAGGAGGCAGUGUCCGAUUUAUGCAGGACUCACAGAUUCGUUUGAUCAGGUAUAAACCUGGACAUCAGAACAGAAAAAUUACCAGAACAAAGGCAAGGCCAUAAAUCAGGGGUGAACAAGUAGAAGAAAUAAGUGGAUGAGUAAGAGAAUGAAUGAACAAUGAGUCUGGGCUGGGCUAUGAUCCCAACACUUUGGGAGGCCGAGGAGGGAGGAUUGCUUGAGGCCAGGAGUUUGAGACUAGCCUGGGCAACACAGCAAAAGUGGCUCUACAUAAAUCUUAAAAGAUAAAAGAAAAGAAAAAAGGGGGAAAAAUUAGUCUGAACACUGCAAAAUUGCCCCUAGGCCAGGUACAUGGUGAUGUUGGCUGUAUCCUGGCGUAGUGACAAUUUCUGUUGCUGUAGACAUCCCAGGAAAUUUUCUCCUCCUCUGCUCUUCAGGAAGUUUGACCACUCCACCACACGUGGGGACAUUUCCAAUGUCAAAAAUUAUAACCAACCAUAAAACCUUUUUUAAUCCAAGCAACAACCAUCUCUGUUGUCUAAACAUGCCAAGAGGGAAAACGAUUUUGCCCAGGGACCAUGGCUGUAAAACCCAGGGCCACACCCAGCUCUACCCAGUUCUGUUGCCUGCCCCAGCUCCCAUGAAGUCCUUCAGCCUCCCCUGAACUAAGGCUUUGCAAGAGUGACUCAGAUUCCCAUCACUUGCCUCAAACCAUCAGUGCUGAAAGAUUGAAGUCCUCACCCUUGAACCCAACUGUGCCAAACUGCAAGAAAUUAUUUACCUACCCACUGCUGGGGAAAUCCAAAAACAGCACGUUUCCUCACCUGCCAUGUGCCACGUGCCGAUGCUUUCUUUUUGCCCCAAACAAAUGGGUGGAAGUCCAAACAUAAGGAACAGCCAUCUUCUGAAUUAAGUAACUCAAGCUCCAAAGGGGUGUCCACCGCUGCAGCUCCAUCUGACCCCUACACUGCCUCUGGUCACACCUUACACUCUGCAAGGCCUCCUACCUGUCUCUGAGUGUCCCCAGGAUGCACAAGGCUUAACAAUCCUGGACUCUGGCAGGCACCUGUUCCCCAACUCUGCCUCGUUUCUUAAAGAUUUAUUUCAUAUCUUCUUUACUUUUGCGGGUGUUUGAACAUGUCCAUUUAAAAGUGUGGUUUUUUAAAAUUUCAGUCUAAGCACCUCCUCUUCCAGGAAGGCUUCCUGGACUUUCCUGGCCAAUUCAGGUAUUCCCUCCUCUGGGUUUCCUGAACAAGGAGUUUGUCUCUAUCAAGGUAGCACAAAGCAGUGGUUAGGGCAAUGGAUUUGGGGGUCAGACACAUCUGGGUUCAAACCUUGGCUCCACUAUUUACUUGCUAUUUGAACUUGGGCAGGCCCCUAAGCCUCAAAUUCUACUUUUAUACAAUCAGGUUGAUAAUAACACCUACCUUCGAAGAGCUUUGUGACAAUUCAAUGAGAGAAGACAUUUAGAGCACUUGUAUGAUACCUGGCUUAAGGGAUAGGCUGAACAACAGAGUAUAUGCAUUCCUAAAUAAUUAUUUAAACACAGAUGACUCUGUAAUGACAGUAAAUACCUACCUGUCUCCCCAUUGUACCACGGGCUCAAUUUUAUCCCCAACUCCUGCCAGAGGCUGGGAACAUACAAGGGAACUGAAUUUCUACAGAAUCUUCCUCCUCCAACAAGCCAUCCCGUCAGCAAACAUCCUUUUUGGAAAGUCCAGGCAGCAUGAAACCUACUGACCCUGCAGAAUUAGAAUCUAAUUAGUAAAUAUGUAUUAAGUAACUGUAUUAAGUAACUACAACGUACUAGGUGCUGUGAGGGUACAAAGAUGAAAAUACAAAGUCUUGUUCCUCAAAGAGCUCGUGUUUUGUUUCAGGAGAGGCAAUAUAAGCCUUUGGAAACUUCCAUCAACAACUAAGAUUUAAAUAGCAAAGAUGGCGAAGUGCAAAUCUAACAAUAAGAAAAAUAGAAUUAAUUACCAGGCA